AGAGUUUGAUCAUGGCUCAGAGCGAACGCUGGCGGCAUGCCUAACACAUGCAAGUCGCACGGCCGGGCAACCGGCAGUGGCGGACGGGUGAGUAACGCGUAGGGAUCUAUCCUGGGAUGGGGAAUAACCGUGGGAAACUACGGCUAAUGCCGCAUGAUGCCUGAGGGCCAAAGACGCGAGUCGUCUUGGGAGGAGCCUGCGUCCGAUUAGCUUGUUGGUGGGGUAAUGGCCCACCAAGGCUGCGAUCGGUAGCUGGUCUGAGAGGAUGAUCAGCCACACUGGGACUGAGACACGGCCCAGACUCCUACGGGAGGCAGCAGUGGGGAAUAUUGGACAAUGGGCGCAAGCCUGAUCCAGCAAUGCCGCGUGGGUGAAGAAGGUCUUCGGAUUGUAAAGCCCUUUCGGCGGGGACGAUGAUGACGGUACCCGCAGAAGAAGCCCCGGCUAACUUCGUGCCAGCCGCCGCGGUAAUAC
rnacentral:rRNA from 1 species